CGCACAUUGCGCCCUACGGUAUUCCGUAGGGCAUGCCUGUUCGAGCGUCAUUAUAACCAUUCAAGCCCAGCUUGGUAAUGGGCCCUCGCCUCCCCCGUGGGGCGUGCCCGAAAAGUAUUGGCGUCCACGGUGGGCCUCAGAGCGGAGUAAACGUUGGAAUGAGAGUUCCCGCCUCGCUCGGAGACUGCCUUCCGUGGACCAUUGCCAGAGAAUUCCUUGGGGGUUAACCCGCCACGGCCGGCCAAACAACCACGCAGCAAUUGACCUCGGAUCAGGUAGGGAUACCCGCUGAACUUAA
rnacentral:misc_RNA from 1 species